GAGAAGUAAUUCACCCUUUGUUCUAGCGGCGGACGGGUGAGUAACGCGUGAGCAACCUGUCCUUGUCUGGGGGAUAAGGAGCCGAAAGGCUCUCUAAUACCGCAUGAGACCACGGGAUCACAUGGUUCUGAGGUCAAAGGAUUUCGGUCCGGACAGGGGUGGGCUCGCGUCUGAUUAGCUAGUUGGUGGGGUAAGGGCUCACCUCGGCAACGAUCAGUAGCGACCUGAGAGGUGAUCGGUCACAUGGACUGAGACACGGUUCAACUCUACGGGAGGCAGCAGUGGGGAUAUGGCAUUGGGCGAAGCUGACCCAGCAACGCGCGUGAAGGAAGAAGGCUUUCGGGUCGUAAACUUCUAUCCCAGAUGAAGAUAAUGACGGUAAUCUGGAAGGAAGCCCCGGCUAACUACGUGCCAGCAGCGCGGUAAUACGUAGGGGGCAAGCGUUGUCCGGAAUGAUUGGGCGUAAAGGGCGCGUAGGCGGCCUUUUAAGUCCGAUGUGAAAGUCCUGCUUUUAAGGUGGGAAUUGCAUUGGAAACUGGAAGGCUUGAGUGCAGGAGAGGUAAGUGGAAUUCCCGGUGUAGCGGUGAAAUGCGUAGAGAUCGGGAGGAACACCAGUGGCGAAGGCGACUUACUGGACUGUAACUGACGCUGAGGCGCGAAAGUGUGGGGAGCAAACAGGAUUAGAUACCCUGGUAGUCCACACGGUAAACGAUGAGUGCUAGGUGUAGGAGGUAUCGACCCCUUCUGUGCCGGAGUCAACACAAUAAGCACUCCGCCUGGGGAGUACGGCCGCAAGGUUGAAACUCAAAGGAAUUGACGGGGGCCCGCACAAGCAGCGGAGCAUGUUGUUUAAUUCGAAGCAACGCGAAGAACCUUACCAGGUCUUGACAUCCAGUAAAAACUGUAGAGAUACAGUGUGACUUCGGUCAUACUGAGACAGGUGGUGCAUGGUUGUCGUCAGCUCGUGUCGUGAGAUGUUGGGUUAAGUCCCGCAACGAGCGCAACCCUUGUGAUUAGUUACUAACGCGUAGAGGCGAGGACUCUAUAAGACUGCCGGGACAACUCGGAGAGGUGGGGACGACGUCAAUCAUCAUGCCCCUUAUGACCUGGGCUACAACGGUGCUACAAUGUCAUACCGAGAGCUGCGACCUCGUAAGGUAAGCGGCUCUCUUCUACGUUGUCCCAGUUCGGAUUGUGGGCUGCAACCCGCCCACAUGAAGUCGGAGUUGCUAGUAAUCGCGAAUCAGCAUGUCGCGGUGAAUACGUUCCCGGGCCUUGUACACACCGCCCGUCACACCAUGGGAGUUGAUAGCGCCCGAAGUCGGUGAGGCAACCGUAAGGAGUCAGCCGCCGAAGGUGAGAUCAAUGACUGGGGGAAGUCGUAACAAGGUAACC
rnacentral:rRNA from 1 species